rnacentral:rRNA from 1 species
AUUGAACGCUGGCGGCAGGCCUAACACAUGCAAGUCGAGCGAGCGGCGGACGGGUGAGUAAUGUCUGGGAAACUGCCUGAUGGAGGGGGAUAACUACUGGAAACGGUAGCUAAUACCGCAUACCAUCAGAUGUGCCCAGAUGGGAUUAGCUGGUAGGUGGGGUAACGGCUCACCUAGGCGACGAUCCCUAGCUGGUCUGAGAGGAUGACCAGCCACCUGGGAACGGAGAACGGUGCCAAACUCCUACGGGAGGCAGCAGUGGGGAAUUUGGCACAAUGGGCGCAAGCCUGAUGAGGCCAUGCCGCGUGUGUGAAGAAGGCCUUCGGGUUGUAAAGCACUUUCAGCGGGGAGGCUUUACCCGAAGAAGAAGCACCGGCUAACCCCGUGCCAGCCGCCGCGGUAAUAC